CACUCAAGUACAUAAGCUUUUAAAAUAAAUAUAUUUGAAAGUAAUGAUUUAUGCUUAAAUAGUUAAAAAACUAGAUACUUACUUACAUACAUACGAACACUUGUAUGUAUAUACUUCAGCAUACAUAUAUAGAUAUACAUAUAUGAUAAUAUUUACACUAUUAAUUAAGCUAUUUUAAAAGAAAAAAAUACCUCAUUCUUUACAAUUUUACAAAAUUAAUUAAUUAAAAAAGUUAAUGAUAAAUAUUUAGCGUAUGUAUGUACAUAUAUCUAUUGAAAAAGUAAUGAAAAUAUUCAUUUAAAUACUCACUAACACAAGAAAGUAGUGGCAAACGCAAAUUUGUGUAUAGUAAUCUAAUGCAAUUUUUAGCGGUUUAUGUAAUUACAUUAAAUUGCAUUACAUGGUGUAAUUCAAGACGUACUUGAAACUAAAUGCUUUGUAUUUAAAUAGAACACACAACAAAAAUUUAGCAACGUCUUAGCUGGCAAAGAAACUGUAUAUAUGUAUAAAUUAGUGUAUUUGUGUGUGUGUGAGUGUAAAGGCCGGUGAUUGCGCGGUGCAACACGUUAAAACAUACAUACACAUGCAUUUAUGUAGGUUUGUGUGUGCGAAAAGGUGUUUUUGUGCUUAAAGGCAGGUCGGUAAACAAAAGGAUCUGCUUUGUUAUUUAAUAUUUGAAGAAGCCCAAAAUUUUAUAAGGCAUUGUUGAUGGUUAUUUUUUUAAUUCUUAAAAAAAUUUUGAACAAUUUCUAAAUUUUUUUUCGUGUCUGAACACGCUUUAUAUUUAAGUUUAAUUUGGGAAAGUACGUGCCAGACUUUUAUAUAAAUAUAUUAGGGUGUGUUUUCUACAAAAAAAAUUUAAGGCGAAUUUCCUUUGAAUAUAUUAGGAUGUGUCUUCUUCAUAAAUUUUGUAGUACGACUUUUAUUUUUAUAACCAAGGGUCUUUUGAAAUUCAUAUGAAACCUUAAAAAAAAAUUAUUGUAUUAUUAUUUUAUUCAAUAAGUACUUAAUAACACACGACCAUAAAAAGUGAAACUUAGAAUAGUACAGUCAGGUUGAAAAAACUGAAUCUUUAGAAUUUUCAAUGAAAGUACAAUGCAUAUUCCCUUGCAAUUUAAUAAAUAUUUAUUUUGAACCCUUUUACUGUCUGCACAUAUUUUUGAGGGCUAAUGUUGACAUGCAUUCAUUUCUGAUUUCGAGCAUUUCAUUAAAAAUUAUAUUUUUCAAAUAUAACCUCAAUAGACAUGUCCAUAGUAUAAUGAAACAAAAGAGGUACUGUUAUCAAUCAUUCAUACAAUUUUUUCUGAAAUUUUAAGGGGUACUCUGGUUUGGAUGACUAAACUAAGAUAAAAACUAAAAAAAAGGAAAAAAAAAAUUUUUAAACUUGGAUAAAAAAUGAAAAACCUUGGAGUGGGGGCUGUCAAAAAAUGAUGUUUCCUAAUCUAAAAUAUCCGAUAUUUUUUUCUCUAAAACUGUCGCUAUCGGGUUGACCUUUGCCAAAAAAAUUUACAAAAUGUCGUCAACUUGAAAAUAAUUUUUUACUCCUUUUUUGAAAUUUUUCGAAAAUACAUAUUUAAAAUUAAAAUUUUACAAAAUUCGAGGCAAGCGCUAUAGAGAAAAGUAUAACAAAGAUUUUUUUGCAAACUUCAAAGUAAUGAAUUACGUAGAACUGGAGAUAUCAAGUCAACCACCUUAAAAAAGCAGUUUCGAGAUUAAAACGGCUAUAAUUUCGGAUAUAAUUUGAAUUUUGAAUAAUAUCUUUUAGGGAAAAAAUUUUGGAUAUCUAAUCUAUCAAAUAAUGAAAAAAAUGUUUCAAAAUGUUUUUUUUUUUUGCUUUUUUUAAAUUAAAAUUUUGUAUUGCUUUUUUCAUAUUUAAAACUUUUUUUCCUUUUUAAAUUUGAUUUUUUUUUACUUUUUUCAUGUAUCAAAUAUUUUUUUUUGCUUUUUUCAUAUCUAAAAACUUUUUUGCUUUUUUCAAAUGUUUUUUCUUUUUCCAAAUUUAAACUUUUUUUCUUAUUUAUUUCAAUUCAAUUUUUUUUUUUAAUUUCUCCAUAAGAAUACCCCCUUAAUAAAAUCAAUAAAAACAAACUAUUAAUAAUAACUAACUAUUUCUUUAAUCCUCCUUAUUAUAGCGUUUUAUGGUUAAAAAGGCUUGAAUUUUAUUUGGUUUUAUGGCCUUAACCGAUUCAUUUCGAGUUCUAUGAUUCAAAUAUAUAUAUAAAAAUAUAUAUUUUACAAACUUUACUUCAAAUCCAAAACAUCAGUAGUCGUUAUAUAACAGAUAUUGAAAUCCUCUGUUAUUGGUAGAAAGAUGAUUACUUUAUAUAGCUCUAUUGCCUUUGGUUGGUUAAAUUAGCUUUAAGGUCGUUAUACUAUAGGAUGUAUGAAGAUACAUUUUAGUAUACUUUGGAAAGUGUACUUUAGAACCAUAAAUAUUUUUUCUUUCGGUGUUUCCUCCUCCGAGAAGUAGUCAUACCAACAAAAGAUGUACGAAAAAGUCUGCUAGAUUAACUAUAAAUGUUAGGAAUGUAUAUAAUUUGUCCAAGUUUUUAAGCCUAUUUUUUAUACCAAAACCAACUGAAGAAAUGUGGAGAGAUUUUUUCACUAUUAUAGAGCUUGUAAAAUACUUCCAAGUCAACGUAAGAAAAUAAAUAUUGGAGACUUGCGUCCAUUAGUAUUUCGUAUCUAUUCUGGGACUGUGCUUAAAGCUAUUGACCAGUAGCGGAUCCCCGGAGGGAGUUUUGGGGGCCAAGUUUCAUGUGCGAAGUAGUUAAUAGAACGAUUCAUAGAGUCCGCUAUGAUAGUAGAUCAGAACGGGGAAAAUAAUUUUUUUUCGAAUUCAGAAGAAUUUACGAAAUAUGUUAACAUCAAUAUCAAAAAUAUAUUGGAAGGAACACUUUUUUAAUAGAACCUCCCAGACAGAAUCUGUCUAUAAGAAGCGUGGUAGUAGACCAAAAAUUCUUUGCAGUGCAGGCGUGUCACUUUUAGCGGCCAUUAGCAUCUAAACAGCGUAACUUAUUUGACUCAAACUAUUAAUUUGAUGUAGCCGCUCAGAUGCACCUUCAUUAGAGGCACUAAGCGCCUAUAUAGCCCCAUUAGGAGCAUGGAAAUCGACCAGAGAUCACUUUACAGUGACGGAGUGUCACUCUUCAUCGCCAGUAAAACUAUUCCAGAUAUAAAACUUGUGUUUGGGUGUGAAAAAGUUAAGUCGAACCAAGUGUUCUCAUUAGAUGCUGAUUCAUUUCCAAAACAUAAAACAAUUUGCUGACGUCACUUUAGCGAUUAUUCAAAGAAAAUGCCAGUUAAUUAAUGUUUGCAUUAUUAUUUUGGCACGUAAAAAAUCAAUAUUUAUAAACAUAACAAUAUUGUUUUCAUAUCACUUCCGGUAAUUGAGCUUCUUUGCAUAAAAUGUAGACACAUAAAAUUUAAUGAGUGCAAAGACUUAACAUUUUUUUCCCAAAAAUACAUAUGCAAACACGUUUUAUGCUCAUUUCCUUAUGAAUUGAACUUUUAGGAUCAUUAAACGUACAAUUAAUUGCGUGUAAAAAUUUCGGCUGCGCCUUAGUAACAACAAAAACAACUGUGAUGCAAUAUCCGUCAACAGAAUUAUUGGCAAAAAUUAACAACAAGCUGAAAUUAUUGAAUGAGGCGUCAAUGGAGAUUAUGCAAAAGCGAAGAAUAUGUGUUUAUACUCACACACACACAUACACGAACGAGAUAUGCAAUAUAAAUAUAACAUAAAAUUAACAUAAUUAAAUGAAUGAUUUUAAAAGCGCAACAUUGCAGUUUCGCCUUCGAUAUGGACGCUGUAUCAGCAGGCAUUAAGAGACUUCACACUCACGCGAAAAUAAAUAGUAUACAUGCAAAUAAAUUGUAUUUGUACAUAAAUAACAAAAUACAUACAAUUGCAGCUUGUGAGCUGUUGGUAGUAGAUUUAUGCGUUAAAGGAAAAAUAGAGGCAAGAAAGCAUGGCACAGAUAUGCACAUAUGUGGUGCUUUCGUGGCAAAAAUGUGUACAUAUAUGAGAAUAUACAAAUAUUUUAAUGCCAGCUAGUAUUGAAAAAUAUAUUUUUUUAUAUUUUAAAAAUUUUAUUUUUUUUACAUUUUUAUUUUGAAUUUUUAUUUAUUUUUUCAUAAUUUUUUUUAUUUUUAUUUUUAUUUUAAUUUUUUAUUUUUUAAUUUUGUUUUAUUUUUUUUUUAAAUUUAUUUUUAUGUGAAAUUUUUUUUAUUUAAAUAUUAUUAUUUACUAAGCAAAACUCACACAUAUGUACAUAUAUAACUGCAUAUAGCAUGUAAAAACUAUUUUAAAUAGCAUUAAAUUAAAAAAAAAAUAAAGUAAAAUUACGAGUUUUGAAUAAAAAACUUUUUAAUAUUACAAAAUAUGUGUUUCAGUAACUUAACAGUUUAUUACAACAACAAGAAAAACAUGUAAUUAGAAAUUAUGCCACAAAAUUAAGCAAAUAAAGUUUUAAAGCUCUCAAAUAUACAUAUAUACAUACCUACAUACAUACAAGUGUAAGUAAGCAAGCGCCAGAAUUUUAAUGAAAAAGUAUAUAAGUAUAUACAUAAAUAACAAAAAAAAUGCAAUAAGUUGACGAAAAAAUUGCGAUUUUAAUGAAAUUACUGUGCACAUAUUAAAAAAUUAUUUAAAAAAAUAGUUGCGAGUAAAAAAAAUUAAGUAAAUAAUUUAAUUGGCGUUAUAUAUACUAUAUAUAUACAUAUACAUACAUAAAAUCUAGCAUAUAUGCAAUAUAUACAAACAUAUGCUGUAGUUAUACAUAAAUUAAAAAAUCACAAACACAUUUAAAUACAUAAAAACACACGCGCUAUACAUAAAUUUACAUACUUACAUUCAAAUAUACACAUACAUACAUCUAUAUAUAUACAUACAUAUAUACAUAAAUAGUAAAUGAAAUACAUAAGCAGGUAUAUACAGGCAUUGUGUGCGUUUUAAAGCAAGAAAGUAGAGUUAGCAGUAAAAAACACAUACUUACACACAUCCACACACACAUGCAAGUGAUUAUGUAUUAUAUGCAAUGAUAAAAAGUGUUCUUGAACCAAAAACAUACAUACAUACAUACAUAACUAGUUAAAAGAAAAUCACCGUUAUGCAAGUCUAACGGUGAAAUGCGCAAAAACAAAAAAUAUUUGAAAAAAAACAACAACAACAUAUGUAUUUAAUUAAAGCAACUGGAUUUAAGAAAAAUUUUUAAGCUGUACAUUGAAUGCAAAUAGUAGUUUUGAAAAAAAAUAUACAUAAAAAGUAAAAUAAUAUGAAUAAAUAAGCAGAAAAAAUAAAUGAAAAGCAGAAAUUGCAAAAUUGAAACCCCUGCAUUGUAACGCCACUGCUUCCUUCCCGCUCAACAGAAAAACAGUUAGCUGCAAUAGCAACAAAUUUCAUAGCCAACGAAAAACAAUGAAAAGUAAAGCUACAACAAAUACAAACAUGCAAGCCAUUAUGUGCUUGUGUGUGUAAGCAUUCUACUUUGCUGCAUUUUUUUGCUUUGCCACUGUGAAGUUAGCACUUUUCGAAGUAAAAGUUGAAAGGUCGCGCCACUAAGUUUUCCCACGCUAAAAUAAUAAACGCUUUUAUUGAACUGUAAUCUGAAAAGACACACCCACGCACACAUACAAACAAACAAUAGAAAAAAAUCCAUAAAAUUUCAAAAAUAAAAAAUUUUAAAAAUAAUUGCAACAACAAAUUCUUUGUUUCUUUAGCUCCAAACAAUGCCAUAACUAGAAUGUUAUGUAAACACAACAACAGCGAACUCUAACAGCAUCUUUAACCGAAAAUGUUUGCAAAAAAAAUCUUGUAUUAUGAAUUACGCCAUAGCGCAACAACAACUACUACAAAACAUUAUUGUCAGAAAAAAUACAUUUAAAAAAACAAAAACAACAAUAAUAGCUUACAACAUAUUUUUCUUUCAUUCUUUGAAAAUAUUUUACUUCACAUGAAACUUAAUCCUUUUUCAACAAUAACCAACAACAAUAAACCAAAUUACUUGCCACAAAAAUCAUUAAGAGAAACACACACAAAUUAAUUUGUCACAACAACAAAAAAUAAACCAAACUUUUCAAUACUCAACCAUAUUAACUGCUUCUGCUCACAGCCGUGUGCAUGAAAUGCAUAACCGCUCACAUACAUAUAUUGAUAACUGUAAACGUAAAUAGAUUUGAUUAAUUAAAAUUAUAUACAAACAACCGACUACAUGCAUACAUAUGUAUUACGUAUAAACAAAAAAUAAAAUAUUUGAAUUCUCAAAAUGCUAAAUUUGAAACCGUAAAGCAUAUGAACUCCCCCAAAAAAGCAAAGCAGCGCAUACUAACAGAAAACAGAAAAUAAACCGAAAUUAAGCAGAAUUUUAAAGGCAUAACGAAAACACUAAACAUCAUGAAAAAUAAAGCAAAAAAUAAACAACUUCAAGAAAAAAGACAA